UGUCUGUUUGGAUUGUUGUCCUCGUUCUUUUUGAUUGAUUUGUCCCAAUGAAGUGCAAUUAGUUUAAGGUUUUGGUGCAACACCCUGAUGAGCAACUCUUGACGUGAUUUGUCCGGUAGAUGCUAAGGGGAGUGUUUUCAGUGCAAUUCCUAAUAUCUGUCUCUGUUUUGAAUUGUCUGGUUGGUUGUUGAGUUCUGAUAGUUUGGGUCUCUGCUCCUCUAAUGUUGUCAUUAUGAGCAUGGGAAACCACACGAGAACAUUUUGGAUCACCUCCAAAAGUGCAAUCUCGUGAAUUAUGGCCCAUCUUUUAUGAGCAAAAAUAACAUGACCCCA
rnacentral:lncRNA from 1 species